rnacentral:lncRNA from 1 species
AGUUCCUCUGCGCCAAGAAUGGGGCCGUGUGCAGGCGGCGCGCCAGUCAUCAGCAAUGUCGCCACUGCUUAAUACCCUGACGCCAGUCUGUCAGUUAUCACGCAUUCCAAAGCAUUUCUAUCCAUAAAAGAUCUUUACUGACAAAGGGUCCCACGAGCGAAGUUCAGAUUUCACGCGUAACGGUGGAGUGGUAAGAGUGGCUGUGCAAUUCGUCACCUCCUGUGAGCUGGUUUCAGGGAAACUGAGCUUCUGAAUGCUGGGCUGCAAAUGCUCUUGAACCUUCUUAGUGAUAUCAAUGUAUGCUAGGUGAGGGACUUCCGCCUCAUGGCUCUUGCGAUGGUUGACCUUUUCUGAAAGCCGCACAACGACAGUCAGGAAAGACAGCUGUCAGAAUGGGUUAAAUGUGCAGAAUGAUUUCUCUUGUCCGAAUGCUUUUGCAUGAGCUGCACUGACCCCUUGUAUUCUGUUCCAUAUUGAAGAAAAGCGUGCGUGUUCAAGUCUUUUUCUACAUCCAGCAUCAUCUGCCUACCCUAAGAAAAAAGAGAUGUUAACGUUCACCUCUGCGGACGCAGGGCGGCAUUUUGUUUGCUGGUGCUACGUAAACAACCAGAAGUUGAAGGCUUCAAGCAUAAGAAGGAAGUCAGGAGUCGACUUGGAACGCAGGGGAGAAAAGGCAGAAGGAGAGCAGACAACAAGAAAGACUUGGUACGCGAUUCGACCCCACUAUUGUGUAUGACAGCCCCGUGACCCUCCAGUUCAGGGUCAUAGGGCCGAGAGGAAUGCAGCAUGUCCAUUACUUACAUCGGAACAGCCUCUGUUCCGAAUUAACUUCACCUGUGAUGACUGGCACAUGAGAUGGAUUCAUCUGGUAGUUUUGCGACAGUUUUAGGUGCUUGAGCUCUGUAGCCACGCUCUCUUCGAAGACUCGAAUUGCUUCAAUGCAGUCGAAUCCUCGACGCGACUUCGGAGAUGGAGAGCCAAGUGCUCCCUUUUUUCCUGGUAAUUCCGCCAUCUGGUCGGCUAUUGCUUUUUGUCUCAGAGGUCAAACUAGGGAGCGGCACCUAAGUGGUGGGCGGUUGCCGACACGGCCCUGACACUCGCGUUGGCAAAACAACCUCUUUAUUAAUGCAGAUUUCACCC